rnacentral:rRNA from 1 species
UACGUAGGGGGCGAGCGUUGUCCGGAUUUAUUGGGCGUAAAGAGCUCGUAGGCGGUUUGGCAAGUCGGGUGUGAAAACUCCGGCUCAACUCGGAGACGCCACUCGAUACUGCUAUGACUCGAGUCCGGUAGGGGAGACUGGAAUUCCUGGUGUAGCGGUGGAAUGCGCAGAUAUCAGGAGGAACACCAAUGGCGAAGGCAGGUCUCUGGGCCACAACUGACGCUGAGGAGCGGAAAGCAUGGGGGAGCGAACAGG